GACGAACGCUGGCGGCGUGCUUAACACAUGCAAGUCGAACGGAAAGGCCCUGCUUUUGUGGGGUGCUCGAGUGGCGAACGGGUGAGUAACACGUGAGUAACCUGCCCUUGACUUUGGGAUAACUUCAGGAAACUGGGGCUAAUACCGGAUAGGAGCUCCUGCUGCAUGGUGGGGGUUGGAAAGUUUCGGCGGUUGGGGUUGGACUCGCGGCUUAUCAGCUUGUUGGUGGGGUAGUGGCUUACCAAGGCUUUGACGGGUAGCCGGCCUGAGAGGGUGACCGGCCACAUGGGGACUGGGCUACGGCCAGGACUCCUCCGGGGGGAGACGGUGGGGAAUUUUGCACAAGGGGCGGAGGCUUGAUGCGGCAACGCCGCGUGCGGGAUGACGGCCUUCGGGUUGUAAACCGCUUUCGCCUGUGACGAGGCGUGAGGGACGGUACUGGAGAAAGAAGCACCGGCAACCUACGU
rnacentral:rRNA from 1 species